GACGAACGCUGGCGGCGUGCUUAACACAUGCAAGUCGAACGAUGAACCAGGGCUUGCCCUGGGGAUUAGUGGCGAACGGGUGAGUAACACGUGGGCAACCUGCCCCAGACACCGGGAUAACCUCUCGAAAGAGUGGCUAAUACCGGAUACGACCCCCUCGGGCAUCCGAAGGGGUGGAAAGGAUUCUGGUCUGGGAUGGGCCCGCGGCCUAUCAGCGAGUUGGUGGGGUAAUGGCCUACCAAGGCGACGACGGGUAGCCGGCCUGAGAGGGCGACCGGCCACACUGGGACUGAGACACGGCCCAGACUCCUACGGGAGGCAGCAGUGGGGAAUAUUGCGCAAUGGGCGAAAGCCUGACGCAGCGACGCCGCGUGAGGGACGAAGGUCUUCGGAUUGUAAACCUCUUUCAGCAGGGACGAAGCGAAAGUGACUGUACCUGCAGAAGAAGCACCGGCUAACUACGUGCCAGCAGCCGCCGUAAGAC
rnacentral:rRNA from 1 species